GACAGAGGGUGCUAGCGUUGUUCGGAGUUACUGGGCGUAAAGGGUGUGUAGGCGGUUUUCUAAGUUUGGUGUGAAAUCUCCCGCUCAACCGGGAGGGUGCGCCGAAAACUGGGAGACUAGAGUGCGGGAUGGGAGAGUAGAAUUCCUGGUGUAGCGGUGAAAUGCGUAGAUAUCAGGAGGAAUACCGGUGGUGUAGACGGCUCUCUGGACCGCCACUGACGCUGAGACACGAAAGCGUGGGUAGCAAACAGG
rnacentral:rRNA from 1 species